rnacentral:rRNA from 1 species
CACGUAGGGCGCAAGCGUUGUCCGGAAUUAUUGGGCGUAAAGAGCGUGUAGGCGGCCAGGUAGGUCUGCUGUGAAAACUCGAGGCUUAACCUCGAGCUGUCGGCGGAAACCAUCUGGCUAGAGUCCGGAAGAGGAGAAUGGAAUUCCCGGUGUAGCGGUGAAAUGCGCAGAUAAUCGGGAAGAACACCCGUGGCGAAGGCGGUUCUCUGGGACGGUACUGACGCUGGAGACGCGAAAGCGUGGGGAGCGAACAGG